CCUAUCUGCCGUGGGCGUUGGAAGAUUGAAGGGGGCUGCUCCUAGUACGAGAGGACCGGAGUGGACGAACCUCUGGUGUUCGGGUUGUGUCGCCAGACGCAUUGCCCGGUAGCUAAGUUCGGAAUCGAUAACCGCUGAAAGCAUCUAAGCGGGAAGCGAGCCCUGAGAUGAGUCUUCCCUGAUACUUUAAGUAUCCUAAAGGGUUGUCGGAGACUACGACGUUGAUAGGUCAGGUGUGUAAGUGCUGUGAGGCAUUGAGCUAACUGAUACUAAUUGC
rnacentral:rRNA from 1 species